GAUGAGCCACCUGAGCCAAAGAAAGUCUGAAAUAAUUAGUAAAGAAAUAAGAGGCGGGCCAGGGUUGUGGCUUAGUGGUAGAGCGCUUGCCUAGCGUGCAAGAGGCACCAAGUUCGAUCCCCAGAACCACAUUAGAAAAAUAAACAAAGUUUUAUUUAAAAAAAGAAAGAAAGAAGAGACAGAGCCAGAAAAUAGGUUUUAAGGGGAGCAUCUGAUAGGACCUUCAGUCCACAUAGUAGCUGGAACUGAACAACUAGAAAAUGGCUCCAGUCCUUUAUUUAAGGAACAGUACAUCAAAGGUAGGGAUUAGGUUUCAGAGGAUGGAGUCUUGCUUCAUGGUGUCUAAAGGUCAACAGGUUGAUUGGCAUCUUGGCAAGUCACACACUACCUCUGAGAGGCUGUGUGGCUACGUGGCUCUAGCAAGUCACCCCAUCUCCUGUGCAAUGCGGAACCUGACAGAGCUAAGUAGGAUAUCACAUGUAUUAGGCUGUUUCAAACCAUCAGGAAUGCUACUGGGAGUUCCCAGGUACCAGACUUUCCUACCCAAUGGCUUCCAUGCCAAUUAGGUUCACUCAGAUUUCUUAAGUGGCUCCUGGCACCUCAGUUCCUUAGAAUGCAAUAAUAUUUGGAGAAAAAGUCUUUAAAAAGAUAAAUAAGUUAAAAUGAGACUUUUUUUUUCUUUAAGGGUGAGUCCUAAUUCAAUAUGACUGGUGUCCUUAUAAGAAGAAAGGAGAAUGCAUGCACAAGGAAAAGAUCAUUUAUAAGUAAAGAGAUAAGGUAUCAUCUAAAAGCCAGAGAGCAAGACCUCAGAAGAAACCAAACCUCCAGAAUUGUGAGAAAAUAAAUUUAUUUUGUUAAAUCCACCCAGGUUAUGGUACCUAGCAAACUGAAAAACUCUACAUCCCCCUUUUUACUUUCCUACACCAAUUUCCACUUCAGUAUGAUCUUAUCCAAAGGCCUGAAUGAGUCUAUUGUGAUGAUACCCAAAUCUCUAUUUCCAUAUGGGGGUGGGGGGGCAUUCUGCAUUUUAAACUAAUUUUCUAUUAAAAAAUCUCUAUUCCUUGGAAAGCUGGGAAUGGAACCACCAUUUGACCCAGCUAUUCCCCUUCUCGGACUAUACCCAAAAGACCUAAAAAGAGCAUACUACAGGGACACAGCCACAUCAAUGUUUAUAGCAGCACAAUUCACAAUAGCUAGACUGUGGAACCAACCUGGAUGCCCUUCAAUAGAAGAAUGGAUUUUAAAAAUGUGGCAUUUAUACACAAUGGAAUAUUACCCAGCACUAAAAAAUAACAAAAUCAUGGCAUUUGCAGAGAAAUGGAUGGCAUUAGAGCAGAUUAUGCUAAGUGAAGUUAGCCAAUCCCUAAAAAACAAAUGCCAAAUAUCUUCUCUGAUAUAAGAGGGGUGACUCAAAAUGAGAUAGGGAGGAAGAGUAUGAGAAUAAGACUCCCACUAAAUAGAGAAGAGAGGUGGGAGAGGAAAAGAGGGAGAAGGGGAGUUGCGUGGAAGAUGGAAGGAGAACCUCAUUGUUAUACAGAAUACAUGUAUGAUGUUGUGAGGAGAAAAAGAAAAAAAAGUAUAUCACGUUAGAUUGGAUAGAGAGAAAUGAUGGGAGGGGAGGGGAGGAGUAGGGGGGAUAGGAAGGGCAGCAGAAUAGAAUAGACAUUAUGAUUACUGUAUGUAUAUAGGUGACUCUAUGACCAGUGUGAUUCUGCAAUCUGUACAAUUAGAAAAAUGAGAAAUUAUACCCCAAUGAUUCAAAUGUAUGAAUUGCCAAGAUCAUUGUAAUGUCAUGUGUAGCUAAUUAAAAAAAAUAAAAUUAAAAAAAAAGAAAGAAAGCGAAAAAAAAAAAAUCUCUAAAGUCCCCAGGUAAGCUCCUUCUCCCUCCCUCUUCCAAUCUCCCCCAGCUUGCCCCUUUCUGCAUUCCCCACUGCAGUGAAUAGAACCACCUCUGGUGCCUAAGUCAGACACCUGGAGUCAUUAUCCUAAAAAAUAAAAUUAGCUACUAUAUAUUUACUAAACCCAUAAGAGCUUUGCACACAUCUCAUCAAAUCUUACAAAGUCACAUAAAGCAGGAAUUAAUAUCCCUAUUUUAUAGCUGAAGAAGCCAAAAUUUGGAUUAAGUAAUUGCCUGGAAUCACUCCUUUAAGAAGUUAAAGAGCUAGAAUUUAAGUUCAGGUCAGUUUGACUUCAGAGCUUAUGGCUCCUGACCUCAGUUAUCCCUCAAUCUAAUCAACCCCCCUCAAACCCAUUCAAUCUACUUCCUAAAAAUCUUUUGACUUCUUCCUCCUCCUCACACCCCAAAUGCUCUUAAUUUGUCUUCUCAGUAAGUUGGGUUUUGUGGGGUUUUUGUUUGUUUGUUUUUGGUGUGUGUCGGGGGGAUGUUUGUGGGAUUUUUGUUGUUGCUGUUGUUGUUUUGUUUUGUUACUAAGAACUGAACCCAGGGACACUUUUACCACUAAGCUAAACCCCAAGCCCUUUCACUUUUUGUUUUGAAACAAGGUCUCAGUAAGUUGUUCAGGGCCUAAGUUGCUGAGAUUGCUUCAGAC
rnacentral:lncRNA from 1 species